rnacentral:rRNA from 1 species
AUUGAACGCUGGCGGCAUGCCUUACACAUGCAAGUCGAACGGUAACGCGGGGCAACCUGGCGGCGAGUGGCGAACGGGUGAGUAACGCAUCGGAACGUGCCCAGUAGUGGGGGAUAGCCCGGUGAAAGCCGGAUUAAUACCGCAUACGACCUACGGGUGAAAGGGGGGGAUCGCAAGACCUCUCGCUAUUGGAGCGGCCGAUGGCAGAUUAGGUAGUUGGUGGGGUAAAGGCCUACCAAGCCGACGAUCUGUAGCUGGGCUGAGGGGACGACCAGCCACACUGGGACUGAGACACGGCCCAGACUCCUACGGGAGGCAGCAGUGGGGAAUUUUGGACAAUGGGCGAAAGCCUGAUCCAGCCAUGCCGCGUGCGGGAAGAAGGCCUUCGGGUUGUAAACCGCUUUUGUCAGGGAAGAAAUCUUCUGAGCUAAUACCUCGGGAGGAUGACGGUACCUGAAGAAUAAGCACCGGCUAACUACGUGCCAGCAGCCGCCGUAA